rnacentral:rRNA from 1 species
AUUGAACGCUGGCGGCAGGCCUAACACAUGCAAGUCGAACGAGUGGCGGACGGGUGAGUAAUGUCUGGGAAACUGCCUGAUGGAGGGGGAUAACUACUGGAAACGGUAGCUAAUACCGCAUACCAUCAGAUGUGCCCAGAUGGGAUUAGCUUGUUGGUGGGGUAACGGCGCACCAAGGCGACGAUCCCUAGCUGGUCUGAGAGGAUGACCAGCGACACUGGAAAUGGGACACGGUCCCGACGCCUACGGAAGACAGCAGUGGGGAGUAUUGCACAAGGGCAGCAAGCCUGAUGCAGCCAUGCCGCGUGUAGGAAGAAGUCCUUGGGAUUGUAAAGUACUUUCAGCGGGAAGGCGUUACCCGCAGAGGAAGCACCGGCUAACUCCGUGCCAGCCGCCGCGGUAAUUC